rnacentral:rRNA from 1 species
UAACACGUAGGUAACCUGCCCAUGUGCCCGGGAUAACUUCUGGAAACGGAUGCUAAAACCGGAUAGGUAGCAGACAAGCAUUUGACUGCUAUUAAAGUGGCCUUGGCCAUGAACAUGGAUGGACCUGCGGUGCAUUAGCUAGUUGGUGAGGUAACGGCCCACCAAGGCGACGAUGCAUAGCCGGCCUGAGAGGGCGGACGGCCACAUUGGGACUGAGACACGGCCCAAACUCCUACGGGAGGCAGCAGUAGGGAAUUUUCGUCAAUGGGGGGAACCCUGAACGAGCAAUGCCGCGUGAGUGAGGAAGGUCUUCGGAUCGUAAAGCUCUGUUGUAAGAGAAAAACGGCACUCAUAGGGAAUGAUGAGUGAGUGAUGGUAUCUUACCAGAAAGUCACGGCUAACUACGUGCCAGCAGCCGCGGUAAUACGUAGGUGGCGAGCGUUAUCCGGAAUGAUUGGGCGUAAAGGGUGCGUAGGUGGCAGAUCAAGUCUGGAGUAAAAGGUAUGGGCUCAACCCGUACUGGCUCUGGAAACUGAUCAGCUAGAGAACAGAAGAGGACGGCGGAACUCCAUGUGUAGCGGUAAAAUGCGUAGAUAUAUGGAAGAACACCGGUGGCGAAGGCGGCCGCCUGGUCUGGAUUCUGACACUGAAGCACGAAAGCGUGGGGAGCAAAUAGGAUUAGAUACCCUAGUAGUCCACGCCGUAAACGAUGAGAACUAGGUGU